rnacentral:tRNA from 1 species
GCGCACGUGGCGAAAUUGGUAGACGCGCAGCCUUGAGGGGGCUGUAUUCGCAAGGAUGUGGAAGUUCGAAUCUUCUCGUGCGCA